CCACCCAAAGGACAUCCAGCUAACUUGACACAACUGUGGGAAGCAUCGGUGUCCAUUUAGAGUUAAUGCCCCAACGAAUUUAGCCUGUUCUGAGGGCAAAAGGGGGGGGUGCAACUCAAUAUUAGGAAAGCAUUCUUAGUGUUUUGUAAGCUCAGUGUAUAGGGAAGAAUCUCACGCAAUCUAUUCUGGGAGAAGGGAUUCCAGUCCACAGACUAACUCCUUUCAAAAUUCUGUUUUGCCCAAUAGGAAGUGAAUGGUGAAUAAUGUAGUGUGGCCUUUCGGAGUCACAUUUAUUGCAAGAGCAAAUUCUUAUUUACAAUGAAGGCCUACCCCGGUGA